GCCUAACACAUGCAAGUCGAGCGGUAGAGAGAAGCUUGCUUCUCUUGAGAGCGGCGGACGGGUGAGUAAUACCUAGGAAUCUGCCUGAUAGUGGGGGAUAACGUUCGGAAACGGACGCUAAUACCGCAUACGUCCUACGGGAGAAAGCAGGGGACCUUCGGGCCUUGCGCUAUCAGAUGAGCCUAGGUCGGAUUAGCUAGUUGGUGAGGUAAUGGCUCACCAAGGCUACGAUCCGUAACUGGUCUGAGAGGAUGAUCAGUCACACUGGAACUGAGACACGGUCCAGACUCCUACGGGAGGCAGCAGUGGGGAAUAUUGGACAAUGGGCGAAAGCCUGAUCCAGCCAUGCCGCGUGUGUGAAGAAGGUCUUCGGAUUGUAAAGCACUUUAAGUUGGGAGGAAGGGCAGUUACCUAAUACGUGAUUGUCUUGACGUUACCGACAGAAUAAGCACCGGCUAACUCUGUGCCAGCAGCCGCGGUAAUACAGAGGGUGCAAGCGUUAAUCGGAAUUACUGGGCGUAAAGCGCGCGUAGGUGGUUUGUUAAGUUGAAUGUGAAAUCCCCGGGCUCAACCUGGGAACUGCAUCCAAAACUGGCAAGCUAGAGUAUGGUAGAGGGUAGUGGAAUUUCCUGUGUAGCGGUGAAAUGCGUAGAUAUAGGAAGGAACACCAGUGGCGAGGGCGACUACCUGGACUGAUACUGACACUGAGGUGCGAAAGCG
rnacentral:rRNA from 1 species